UGGCUGCCUAUUGCUUUACACUAGAAGUAUUGACCCCCUUAAAGCUAAUACUGAAUUAUAUUUCUGCAGGUGUAUGUAAUGUGUGCCAUUAGUAAGGUAAUUUGCCAGUUGCAUCCAUUUCUGUCAGGUACAUAUUUUUUUGCAUUAGCCUUAAGGAUGUUUGUGGAAUUGUCUAAUUUAUGCAAUUUGAACACCUGCUAAUUUUCCUUCUACUUCAUUUAACUGUGUUUUACUUUUUUCUUUUUAGUAGCUCUAUAAAUCAGUCAGCAGAUAGUGGGGGAACAGACAAUUUUGUCCUUAUAAGUCAAUUGAAAGAAGAAGUGAUGUCACUUAAGCGUCUCUUACAGCAGAGAGACCAGACCAUUUUAGAAAAAGAUAAAAAGUUAACUGAACUAAAGGCAGACUUUCAGUACCAAGAGUCAAAUUUGAGAACAAAAAUGAACAGUAUGGAAAAAGCCCACAAAGAAACUGUGGAACAACUUCAGGUAACUACCAUCAUUUACGUAAAAUGAUAGGCAAGAAGGGCUAAACUUGAGUAAUAGCAUUCAUUGAC
rnacentral:lncRNA from 1 species